AGAAGAGUUCCGGGAUGUAUCUGCUCCUUGAUGUGACACCUGGUAAAAUACUACCUUAAUGUUAAAGCUCAGCGUUGCCCCAAUAACCAUUGGAAGAGCUGCAAUAAAACAAGUAAAAGUAUAUGCAUCAGAGAAGUAACUGGAUUCAGACGACAAGAUAAGGGAGCCUUGAUAUACCGUGACAGAGAAGUGAAUGAAUAGAAAUUCUCGAGCUGUUCAACGGGGAAAGGAAAUCAAGACAGCAACUUGAAACAAACCAUGUGAUUUACAUCUGUCCAUUUUAAAUUAUGACAACUUUAUUUAGAAAUCAUAAAGCAUGACCCCAUCCAAUACAAUUUGUUG